rnacentral:lncRNA from 12 species
CUGAUCUGAUGCCCCAUGUGAACACAGAAUUCAGCACCCCAGCACCCCACCCGCAGUGGGAGGAGCAGCCUUCUGAAGAAAUACGCAGGUCAAAUUUUACUUUCAUUUAUAUCACUUCAUCCCCAAGUGGUCUGCAGAACCCUCCAGAAGCUCCUCCAUAGGCUUGUCAGGAAUGGGAAUCUUGAGCAUGACUGACUCAUCUGCCUCUUCAGUGUCCUGAAAUCCCAGAUGUGGUGCCUAAUGCGAG